UGAUAGCUGAGCUCUGAGUAGGUAG
rnacentral:piRNA from 1 species